GUAACCGGGCUUCUUUUGAGGAGAAAUAGAGUUAAUGUUGGGUAGUUAAAUAGGGUGGCUUCUUGUGAGUUAAAGAGGGGCUGAAUUUAUAUAUCUUCUUGGGGAGAAAAUCGACGGCUGGGGGGUCAUCAUACAUACACACAAGCUGCUAAAUUUGGGCAGAAAAAAGGCUUAAGCUAUUGGGAAAGGAGGCAAAGAAAAAGGGUCGCUGUGGCUGAUUUUUUUGUUCAAUUAUUCAUCAAUAAUCGUGCAAGGAACUUACAAAUUAAUCAUGUUUCAUAGAUUCCUGGUGAUUUCUUCCCACUUUUAUGUGUUUUAUCCCAACAUUAUGCUAGGAUAAUUUCUUCUCAUGUAUUGGAUGGAUGACAUAGUUUUAAUUCGAUACCUGUGUUUUUAUUUUAACUCUUAUGUUGUGAUUCCAUUAAUAUGCC
rnacentral:lncRNA from 1 species